GACGAACGCUGACGGCGUGCUUAACACAUGCAAGUCGAACGAAGUGGCGAACGGGUGAGUAACGCGUAAUCAACCUGCCCUUCAGAGGGGGACAACAGUUGGAAACGACUGCUAAUACCGCAUACUGAAGGUGGGGCUUGCGUCUGAUUAGCUAGUUGGAGGGGUAACGGCCCACCAAGGCGAUGAUCAGUAGACGGUCUGGGAGGAUGAACGGCCACAUUGGGACUGAGACACGGCCCAGACUCCUACGGGGGGCAGCCGUGGGGACUCUUCCGCAAUGGACGGAAGGCUGACGGAGGAACGCCGCGUGGGUGAUGACGGCCUUCGGGUUGUAAAGCUCUGUUAAUCGGGACGCGGUACCGGAAUAGAAAGCCACGGCUAACUACGUGCCAGCCGCCGCGGUAAUUC
rnacentral:rRNA from 1 species